CUCUAGCGCUAAGGAUGCGAGAAUGGCUUAAAAUAAGGCUAGCUUUGUGUCAAAUGGAACGUGCCCUGAGUGCUUCAAGGCUGCCAGGAUAUGCGUUGGAAGAACAAGUCUGUGGACGUCAGGAUCUAAUGGCUCUGAGAGUCACAUCCAUGGGGUAUACCCCGGACUCCAGAGUGACAAUUUUAGCAUGUGAACAAUUUGACAGGUCAAAUGCUACGAAAACGGUCAGUCCAUAUGUAUCCUCCAAAGCAUGCAAGGAUGUAAAUUUUUUUCAAAUAAUGUUCAGUUUUAAAUGGCGCGAUUACCACAUUUUCCGAACCCUGAUGAAUAAGCUGGACAGUCUUUUCGAAAAUCGUGAACAAUUACGGCGAUGGCCUAGGUUAUCGUUGAGACAUACACCGGAACAACAACAAGUUCGAAGGCGGAUCUUUCCCUGGCAGGAAAGUGGACAGAGCUUCGACGGAGCGCGGAAAAGACUUUGUGAUGGGGAAUUGGAAACGGAUAAUGUUCAGGGCUAACAGGACCCCAUAUAUCUCUUUUACGCGAUUUACCUGAUCUGGAACAUGAUGGGGGUUCGCAGGAGCAAAAGUCUGGCAGACAAUCACCAACGGCCUUUUUUCGUUCCGACAUACAGCCCUUUAUGAUAAAGGAUGCGUUAUGGACAGCUGACACGCAGGACUUUGAUGCAAUUCUACCGUUCACUGUGGCCCAAGUACACUGCUCAGAAUCAAGCCCACCCGAAAACUACUGUUGGGCCGGGAACUUGCUGCUUCACGAGCAGGCGCUCCAGGGACAAGACUGCCCGGAGACAGACCCAGCAGAAUCUGGAACGCUAGAGGGAAAAAGUCACACACCCCCGGUUUCGGCGAUUCGUCACAACAAGCGCCAAAAAA